rnacentral:tRNA from 1 species
GCAUCGGUGGUUCGGUGGUAGAAUGCUCGCCUGCCACGCGGGCGGCCCGGGUUCGAUUGCCGGCCCGGAUCCC